rnacentral:rRNA from 1 species
CUACGGGACGCUGCAGUGGGGAAUAUUGGGCAAUGGGGGGAACCCUGAUGCAGCAACGCCGCGUGGAGGAUGACGCAUUUCGGUGUGUAAACUCCUUUUAUAUGUCAAGAAAAUGACGGUAGCAUAUGAAUAAGCACCGGCUAACUCCGUGCCAGCAGCCGCGGUAAUACGGAGGGUGCAAGCGUUACUCGGAGUCACUGGGCGUAAAGGACGCGUAGGCGGGUUGGAAAGUCAGGUGUGAAAUCCUACAGCUUAACUGUAGAACUGCACUUGAAACUUCUAAUCUAGAGUAUGGGAGGGGGAGAUGGAAUUAGUGGUGUAGGGGUAAAAUCCGUAGAUAUCACUAGGAAUACCUAAAGCGAAGGCGAUCUCCUGGAACAUUACUGACGCUAAGGCGUGAAAGCGUGGGGAGCAAACAGGAUUAGAUACCCUCGUAGUC